rnacentral:misc_RNA from 1 species
GUGAAUUAAACAUGCUUGGUGUCCUUCGCUUCGGCAAGGCCCUUGCUUAAUACACAUCGACACACCUGUGAACUGUAAGGCGUUUUUUGGCAAAGGCUUAGCGGCCAGAGUCGAAUCGUCUGCCCCUUUUUAACAAACGAUUAAUGUAACAAAAGUAGUCUUAUUAUAACCUAAUA